UACGUAGGGUGCGAGCGUUAAUCGGAAUUACUGGGCGUAAAGCGUGCGCAGGCGGUUUUGUAAGCCAGAUGUGAAAGCCCCGGGCUUAACCUGGGAACGGCAUUUGGGACUGCAAGGCUUGAGUGCGGCAGAGGAGACUGGAAUUCCUGGUGUAGCAGUGAAAUGCGUAGAUAUCAGGAGGAAUACCGAUGGCGAAGGCAGGUCUCUGGGCUGACACUGACGCUCAUGCACGAAAGCGUGGGGAGCAAACAGG
rnacentral:rRNA from 1 species